CUUCUUCCCCAUUUCCGUGCUUCGUCUUCUUCGCCAAACCGACUCUCCCUCCACAGAAAUGGAGACGAAGCCAUAGAAAUCUAAAAACCCACUUCACUCCGUAAUCCCAGGUUCAACCCACUCUUCUUCCCCAUUUCUGUCUUUCGUCGUCGUCUUCCUCGCUAAACCGACGGCAUCACUCAGUACACAGAAAUGGAGACGAAGCCAUAGAAAUCCAAAAGCCCACUUCACUCCGUAAUUCCUAACACCAAAUUUAACUCCAAUCCGCACCUAAUUAGCUCAAAUAAUCAGCAUAGAUCAGUUUAUUGCGGCCCUUCGUACAAUCUUUGAUCUAAGUUGCUUCAGAAGAGAAAACUCAACAUCCAUGGCUAUACACAGGCUGCCUACAUCAUCUGAGUGAACAAAGGAAAAUAAGAGUUGAAAGCCACUCCAAAGAUUUGACGGUGUACAUGCAGAGCAAUCAUGUAGUCGAAAAGUUCCUCUCCAAAAACUCUAAGACAAAAAUGAUAAAGGUUUUCAACGUUGCGCUUCACUUAAGUUUAGAAGUACAAAAGAGAGUAAUUUACUCGUCGCACAAGUAAGCAACUCCAAAAAUAGAUACAUAGCUACGAAACCAUUUGUCACCUAUUUACCUGAAAAUUAUGAGGUCAUCUACAUAUGCUCCAAGCACCAUCCUUGCAUCUAUCCAUGAAAGAGCCUCACUAAGAUACACAAAAUUACUCCUCAACAGGACACCAGGGUUCCACUCUAUCAUGCAUAGAAACAUAAAAAUGAGAUUGAAGCUCUCCUAUUAUUUUCCCUCAAUUUGAGUAGUGUUGACAAUGAGAAUAAGUCAUACUUGGUAUAUAAUUUCUUCGCUUUGGAAGAUUUCAUUCAUCUAAUAGUUAUUGAUGAGAUUUCUGCUCACAGGACAAUUUCUAGUGCUCUAUUUCUCUAAUUUGUGUAUUUGUAGAAAUUCAUAAUUGUUGUUUGAAUAUAAAACAGUAAACAUAAAAUAUUAACUUAGGAUCAUCCUCAAUGAGGAAAUCUAUAAGUCUUGUUACGGAGAGUGUAUCUCCAUCACCUAUCCAAUAAUAUAUGAUACUAUAACAAAA